AUUGAACGCUGGCGGCAGGCCUAACACAUGCAAGUCGAGCGGUAACACAGAGAGCUUGCUCUCGGGUGACGAGCGGCGGACGGGUGAGUAAUGUCUGGGAAACUGCCUGAUGGAGGGGGAUAACUACUGGAAACGGUAGCUAAUACCGCAUAACGUCGCAAGACCAAAGUGGGGGACCUUCGGGCCUCAUGCCAUCAGAUGUGCCCAGAUGGGAUUAGCUAGUAGGUGGGGUAAUGGCUCACCUAGGCGACGAUCCCUAGCUGGUCUGAGAGGAUGACCAGCCACACUGGAACUGAGACACGGUCCAGACUCCUACGGGAGGCAGCAGUGGGGAAUAUUGCACAAUGGGCGCAAGCCUGAUGCAGCCAUGCCGCGUGUAUGAAGAAGGCCUUCGGGUUGUAAAGUACUUUCAGCGAGGAGGAAGGCGUUAAGGUUAAUAACCUUGGCGAUUGACGUUACUCGCAGAAGAAGCACCGGCUAACUCCGUGCCAGCAGCCGCGGUAA
rnacentral:rRNA from 1 species